AGGUGAAAAGAACCCCGGAAGGGGAGUGAAAUAGAAUCUGAAACCGUGUGCCUACAAUCGGUCGGAGCACAUUAAAGUGUGACGGCGUACUUUUUGUAGAACGGGCCAGCGAGUUACGAUAUAUAGCGAGGUUAAGCACUUAUGGUGUGGAGCCGAAGGGAACCCGAGUCUGAAUAGGGCAACUAGUUGUAUAUUGUAGACCCGAAACCGGGUGACCUAUCCAUGGCCAGGAUGAAGCGGAAGUAAAAUUCCGUGGAGGUCCGAACCACGUUGGUGUUGAAAAACCAUGGGAUGAGCUGUGGAUAGCGGAGAAAUUCCAAUCGAACUCGGAGAUAGCUGGUUCUCCUCGAAAUAGCUUUAGGGCUAGCGUCGGGUAAUUGAGUAGUGGAGGUAGAGCACUGAAUGGGCUAGGGGCUGACAACAGUUACUGAACCCUAUCAAACUCCGAAUGCCAUAUACUUGUACCCCGGCAGUCAGACUACGAAUGAUAAGAUCCGUGGUCAAAAGGG
rnacentral:rRNA from 1 species